GACGGACGCUGGCGGCGUGCCUAAUACAUGCAAGUCGAACGCACUCUCGUUUAGAUUGAAGGAGCUUGCUCCUGAUUGAUAAACAUUUGAGUGAGUGGCGGACGGGUGAGUAACACGUGGGUAACCUGCCCUAAAGUGGGGGAUAACAUUUGGAAACAGAUGCUAAUACCGCAUAAAACCUAACACCGCAUGGUGUAGGGUUGAAAGAUGGUUUCGGCUAUCACUUUAGGAUCGGACCCGCGGUGCAUUAGUUAGUUGGUGAGGUAAAGGCUCACCAAGACCGUGAUGCAUAGCCGACCUGAGAGGGUAAUCGGCCACACUGGGACUGAGACACGGCCCAGACUCCUACGGGAGGCAGCAGUAGGGAAUCUUCCACAAUGGACGAAAGUCUGAUGGAGCAACGCCGCGUGAGUGAAGAAGGUUUCGGA
rnacentral:rRNA from 1 species